rnacentral:rRNA from 1 species
GACAGAGGGUGCAAACGUUGUUCGGAUUUACUGGGCGUAAAGCGCGUGUAGGCGGCCCUGCAAGUCGGGUGUGAAAUCCCACGGCUCAACCGUGGAAGUGCACUCGAAACUGCAGGGCUAGAGUCCUGGAGAGGAAGGUGGAAUGCUUGGUGUAGAGGUGAAAUUCGUAGAUAUCAAGCGGAACACCGGUGGCGAAGGCGGCCUUCUGGACAGUGACUGACGCUGAGACGCGAAAGCGUGGGGAGCAAACAGG